GAUGAAGAACGUAGCGAAAUGCGAUAAGUAAUGUGAAUUGCAGAAUUCAGUGAAUCAUCGAAUCUUUGAACGCACCUUGCACCCUUUGGCAUUCCGAAGGGUAUGCUCGUUUGAGUGUCAUUGUACUCUCACUCUCCCGAUGCUUUUGGAUCGGGAGUGGUGGACUUGGGUGUUGCUGCUUUGCUGUGGCUCGCCUCAAAUGGAGUAGUGCAACUCUUGGUUGGACAUAGUACGGCGUGAUAAGUGUCUUCGCCGGCGCCUCAUUAUAGAGGGUGGCCGAUCGGGAGCUCUGUGCUUCAAACCGUCUUCGGACAACAUCUGACAACUUAACCUCAAAUCGAGUAGGACUACCCGCUGAACUUAAGCAUAUCAAUAAGCGGAGGA
rnacentral:misc_RNA from 1 species